UGGGGAAUAUUGGGCAAUGGGCGCAAGCCUGACCCAGCAACGCCGCGUGAAGGAAGAAGGCUUUCGGGUUGUAAACUUCUUUUAAGAGGGACGAAUAAAGUGACGGUACCUCUUGAAUAAGCCACGGCUAACUACGUGCCAGCAGCCGCGGUAAUACGUAGGUGGCAAGCGUUAUCCGGAUUUAUUGGGUGUAAAGGGCGUGUAGGCGGGAGUGCAAGUCAGAUGUGAAAACUCAGGGCUCAACCCUGAGCCUGCAUUUGAAACUGUAUUUCUUGAGUGCUGGAGAGGCAAUCGGAAUUCCGUGUGUAGCGGUGAAAUGCGUAGAUAUACGGAGGAACACCAGUGGCGAAGGCGGAUUGCUGGACAGUAACUGACGCUGAGGCGCGAAAGCGUGGGGAGCAAACAGGGUUAGAUACCC
rnacentral:rRNA from 1 species